AAUACAGAUGAAAAAUGUAAUAUGAUCUCAAGUUUAUAGAAAUAUUUAUUUUCAAGAACAUGAAUAACUUCUUUUAAACUAUGGGCAAACAAAAUGAGCAUUAUUUUAAUCUUUUUGAAGUGGCAAAAUAAAUUAAUUAUGAUAGGCCUCAAAUAGAAUUAGGUCUUUGUGUCUUAAUCGUAUUAUUUGUAUUUUUUUAUAGAUCAAAGUUUUGACAUUCCAGACAGAACUUUUCAUUCUACAAAUACAACUUGGCGACUCUCAUCUUUUGAAUCUAUGACUGACGUGAAAGAACUUAUCCCAGAGUUUUUCUAUCUUCCAGAGUUCCUAGUUAACCGUGAAGGUUUUGAUUUUGGUGUGCGUCAGAAUGGUGAACGGGUUAAUCACGUCAACCUUCCCCCUUGGGCACGUAAUGAUCCUCGUCUUUUUAUCCUCAUCCAUCGGCAGGCUCUAGAGUCUGACUACGUGUCGCAGAACAUCUGUCAGUGGAUUGACUUGGUGUUUGGGUAUAAGCAAAAGGGGAAGGCUUCUGUUCAAGCGAUCAAU
rnacentral:sRNA from 1 species